AUGAAUUAAGUAUUAGUACAUUUCAUUUACAAUGAAAAAGUCUACAUAUUAGGAUUCAUUAAUUAUUACUGUGAAUAAUUUAUAACUUUUUUUUUACCUUUUGCAUAAUGGUUUAAUAAAUUAAAUAAUUUUAUUGUUCCCGAAUUUAGAAGAUCUAAAUUUUAGAAAGUAAUCUAAUAAUGUUUCAAAAUUAUAAUUUAGUAAAAUUUAGGAGUGAAAGGCUUAUCAAUUCUAAAGAUAUUUGGAAUAAUUUUAAAUGUAUUUAGUACAGAAUAAAGUUUGAAUAAAAAAAUGUUAAUUUUUUUAAAAAGAAUUAUAAUAACUAUAUUUAAGAAUUAAUCUUCAAUUAAAAAUAAAAAAAUUUUUUAUUAGAAUAUCUUUCAAAUAAAAUUAUAUUUAAAAUUACUUAGAAAUUAAUUAUGUUAAAAUUAGUAUAAAAUAUUAUGUUAAUUUAAGGAACUCGGCUUUCAUCUGUUUAUCAAAAACAUAGUCUUAUGAAAAUAUAAGGUGUAACCUGCCCACUGGUUUUAAAUGGCCGCAGUACUUUGACUGUGCUAAGGUAGCAUAAUAAAUUGACUUUUAAUUGGGGCCUUGAAUGAAAGGAUUAAUGAAUAAUUUCUGUCUUUAAUAAAUAAAUUUAAAUUUACUUAAAAGGUGAAAAUUCCUUUAAUUUAAUAUAAUAGACGAGAAGACCCUAGGAGUUAUUUUGUUGGGGCGACAAUAUAGCAUAACCUAUAUAUUUUUAAUAACGAAAAAUUUUAAUAAUAAUUUAACUACCCUAGGGAUAACAGCAUAAUUUUAAUUAAAGUUUGUGACCUCGAUGUUGGACUAGGAACUUUUAAAGCUAACAGCGUUAA
rnacentral:rRNA from 1 species